rnacentral:lncRNA from 1 species
CAAAAGAAAUUCACUAGACGCCGCUUUUUUAUGGGAGGCAGCUAGCAGAGGGAGAAUGUGUUACUACGUUACCCCAAGAAAGGAACAAACCUGCACUAAAACACAACACAAAGAAAGCAAAUUUUAAUGAGUUGAACCAGAAGAUAAUCGAUGAAAGACUAAACAAAGUUUAAACGGUAAGCAUAAAAAAAACCACGCACCUGGGAUGCCGCAAGAGAGAAAAAGAAGAAGAGGCAGAUGAUAAAGAAAUAAGAAACAACAACGGAAUGCCGCAAGAGAGAAAAAGAAGAGGUGCCGCAAGCGAGAAAAGGAAGAGGCCACAAGAGAAAAUGGAGAAGAGGAAGACGAUAUCAGAAACUGAAUGCCGCAAAGAGUUUGCAGUUAUAUUUAAAAUGAAAUUGGGUGUCGGUUGCUCCAGACACCGACGUCUAUAUUCACAUAGACGUCGGUUUUCUCACUAAUAUCACGUCCAAGUUAACAUUUCAACUGACCUUUUGAAUACCAUUAG